UUUUAAAUAUAGACUUAGGAAUAGUGAAUUCUGGCAUAAAAAUUUAAUAUGAUAAACUUUUUUUUCUUUUACAUUGUAAGUACCCAAUCCAUUCUGUCCUUACUAAAGUGUAGUUUUCAUGUUAAUGUUACUGGAGUUGUCCUUAUUUCUGAGCCUUCAUUUGCAUGUCUUAUGUUUUUUUGUCUGUUUUAGCUAAAACAAUUUUAUGCUUUUAAAAUAUUUUAGUUAUAAAGCAAAAUAUCUGGCGAGAGAUGUUUUUAAAAUGUUUACAUACAGUAAAUGUUAACCAGGUGUAUUCACACUAACAUGUACAGACUAAAAUAUUUGGGGGGAACAUUUUUGAGUUUGUGUAGUCUGGAGAGCCAGUGGCUGUUCUUUUAAUGUAGAGUAAAUCUGUCACAGGAACCUAGAUUUAAGCCUCGAGUUCUAAGGAUACUGUCAGUUACCAUAACUGGACAACAUUUUCUAUAGCUUUUUGAUGCUACACCAUUGCCAGAUAAAGAUCUCUAAAUGUCUUAACAAGAUACGUUUUGGCUUGCAAAUGUACCAGAGAAGUGGGGAUACAGAUUAUAUAGCUCUAUAUUUAUAAAUCUGUUUUUUAAAAAGCUAAACAACACAACUUCACCUUCAGAACUGCAUUCAUCAGUGGUGAGCGGGGAGAUGACUGGCCGCCCCCCCUUUGUGAGGCUCGUGGAAAGUGAAGAAGAGAAACUUCCAGAUUGCAAGACAGCUCUAAUCCCCGAACUCGAGUAAGCUCUCUCCACACCUCCAGAGAGCUGCGGCCUGCUCAUUUUCUCCACUCCCUCUGAGAGGAGUCGGUGAUGAUGAGCAGAGCUCACUUUACUUCCCAACACCUUCCUUGCCGGUGAAGUCCUUCCUUUUCUGUGACUCCUCUCUCUCAACUGAUCAAUAAUAUGCUGAGGUCUCUUUCUCCUGAGAGGGCUCUGUAAACCAGCCUCCUGAGAGAGAUGCUCUCAAGGACCAGGACUGCAUACCAAAAACAAAGAAACAAAAACCCCAAAACCUGUCUCCGUCGUCAGUUUCUUCUCCUAACUGAAACAACCUGCAGGACUCUGGAAAUUAGCUAACCACUUGGGAGAAAAAGAGAUAUAUAUUACUUUCAGUCUUUACAAUGGAGAGAAUGCUGCUAUUUACAUUUUUCCAAAUCUCCUACCUGGGUACUUAUAUGGCCCCACCACCACUGUAAUAUCACCUCCUUUUCCCUGUUCAGUUCUCUGUAUAUGAACCGAUGUCUUCCUUGAAACAUCACUGACUCCAAGGGCAUGAGAUAAUUCACUGGUAGUGAAAGUGGUUUUUGCAUGCAGUCUCGAAGGCCAUCUAGUGACACAACUAUGCAAGAAGAAAUGUCAGACCCCAUGUGAACUGUAAUUUAAAAAAAAAAAAAAAGUAAAAUUGGGGAAUGAUAAACUCAACAGUUCUGUUGGUGGAUUGUUACCCCUUACACAGGUAAUAUUUCAGAAAGUUUUAGGGGUGAGCAAAAUUUCCCAAGGAAUUUAGAUUUGCAUAGUAAAUGGGAGAAGAGUUGAGACACUUCACUCCAGGGAGCAAGUGGUUCAUCUAUGCUAGGUAUAGGACUUAGUCCCUACAGAGAAUGGGGCUCAAUUUUGAUCUCAAUUACUACAUUGUAAAUGCAGAGUAACUCCAGUGAAAUGCAAGAUCAGGGCCAUAUUUAUCAUCUUAUCCCUUUGGUUCUUACCUUUAAACAGAUGCUACUUAUGUGUGUAUAAUUAAGUCUGUGCAUAAACGUUAACAGGGUUUGGUCUAUGUAACUGAAAUAAACACAAUAUUAGAGCUAAAUUUGAUGACAGUAAGGUUAGUAUUGUACCAAUAACUUUGAACACAGUUGAUGUUUCUUAAUUUAAGACUAGGGCACCUAAGUACCAUGGUGAUAGAUGCAUUAGAAAUUAAUAAAGUGAGCCACAUGAAUCUCUGGUGAAAUACUGAAGUAAUCUGGAAUUUCAUCAAGGAUGAACUUGACAAAUCAGUAUGUUACCUUCAUUGUCCUAACAGCUAUUCUUUUCACCUGUGAUAUCGCAUCCUGAAGAGGUGUGUCAGAUAUAAAUAUUUUUGGCUGCUUUUAUUUCUGGAGAGAGUAAAAACCAUGUUGCUUCUCGAACAAGUGUUUCCUGCAGCUGCCAGAGACUUUAAACAAAUAAAAUACAUGUUUAAAGGCCAAGGAAAUGCUCUUGAGAAGAGAAAUAUGCACCUUCUGUAUUUGAAAAGUAUACGACCAGUAUUACUGUUGGCAACAAAGAAGUAAUUCUGAAUUUGUAUGACACU